GCACAGAUAGCUCAGUCAGUAGAGCAUAAGACUUUUAAUCUAAUGGUCCAGGGUUCAAGUCCUUGUUUGGCA
rnacentral:tRNA from 1 species